rnacentral:rRNA from 1 species
UACGGAGGGUGCGAGCGUUGUCCGGAAUUACUGGGCGUAAAGGGCUCGUAGGCGGCCAACUAAGUCCGACGUGAAAUCCCCAGGCUUAACCUGGGAACUGCGUCGGAUACUGGAUGGCUUGAAUUCGGGAGAGGGAUGCAGAAUUCCAGGUGUAGCGGUGAAAUGCGUAGAUAUCUGGAGGAAUACCGGUGGCGAAGGCGGCAUCCUGGACCGACAUUGACGCUGAUGAGCGAAAGCUAGGGGAGCAAACGGG